GACGAACGCUGGCGGCGUGCUUAACACAUGCAAGUCGAGCGGUAAGGCCCUUUCGGGGGUACGACGAGCGGCGAACGGGUGAGUAACACGUGGGUGACCUGCCCUCAGCUCUGGGAUAAGCCUGGGAAACCGGGUCUAAUACUGGAUAUGACUCCACGACGCAUGUUGUGGGGUGGAAAGCCUUGUGCGGCUGAGGAUGGGCCCGCGGCCUAUCAGCUUGUUGGUGGGGUGAUGGCCUACCAAGGCGACGACGGGUAGCCGGCCUGAGAGGGCGACCGGCCACACUGGGACUGAGACACGGCCCAGACUCCUACGGGAGGCAGCAGUGGGGAAUCUUGCGCAAUGGGCGAAAGCCUGACGCAGCGACGCCGCGUGGGGAUGAAGGCC
rnacentral:rRNA from 1 species